AUGGCAGAUGGCAAGAAACCUCACAAGGGAGGAAAGAAACUGGAAGUCAACACUGCGUUUGAAAUCUCUGAGGAUAUAUACAAGGAUUAUUGCACUCAUGAUGAGGCCACCCAUGGAAAGGAAACUAAGAAUGAGCGCAAAGUGCGCAUCCAAAGGAUAAAGAGGAGAUGGGCACGGGAAUGGAGGGAAUACAAAUAUGUUACUCCAAAGUAUAUGAAGAAAUUCGCUCUUAAUCCUCCAUGCCCAAGACCUCCAUUGGCACCUGGCCAAGUAGCUGAUCCCACUAGCCUCAAGCGUGGUGAGGAUUAUCCUGAUGAAUGGGCUAAGCGCCAGGCCAAGCUAGCCAGAGUAGCUAAGGAAGCAGUAAGGAAAUUUAGUGAAGACUCUGUUGUUGCUGCUGCCACUACUGAGGCCUCUGCAAGCAAGCCAAAGAAGGCCAUGCCAAACAAGCCGGCUCAUAAGCCAAGUGAUUCAACCCCAAUGCCCUCACGGCGAAGUUCCCCAGCAAUGCCCUCACGACCAGAUUCUUCAAAGCCCUCACGGCCAAUUCCUCAAGCUGCACCAGCUCCUCCAAAGUCCUCAGCCCCUCUGUCAAAAUCCUCAGCACCUGUGCAUCUCGCCACGUGCCAAAGGACAACAUGCAUCUCUAUUGCCUCAUGA
rnacentral:rRNA from 1 species